GUGAAGAUGGAUGUGGAGAAGCUCAUCACACAAAUCCAAGAAAGACCCCAAAUCUGGGACACCCGCUGUGACGGUUACCGUGACCGUGUAGCCAAGGAGCGGGCAUGGGAGGAGGUGGCGCAACAUAUGAUGGCCAGCCAAUGGGAGAAGGCAAAUUCAAAAAAGCGGCGUGACUUAAUUCAAAGAGUAAAGACAAGAUGGCAUUCAUGUCGUGACCAAGUGUGCCGUGAAUUAAUCCAAUGAAAGGGUCAUAGUGGUGAUGGCGGUUUGCGUACAAAAACAUAUAUGUAUACCCGCCAGCUACAAUUUCUGCGGCCUAUUUCGGAAUUAAGGCCCACCGUGGACAACCUUGAGGAUGAAGGGCACAAUUGCAGCAGCUCCCAUGAGGAGGACCAAGCUUCUAUUGGGCCACAUUCACCACGUCCCGUGACCGGUGAGGAGGAUCUAAGCACACAGGAGCUACCCACUCACCAACUGCAGGGAGAAGGUUCUGGUGUGGAAGCUGGAGGAGUUACUGCUUCCAGUCCAGGAGCACAGGCCAGGCAAGGUCAGCGGAGAAGAGGGGCUAGGGCUAGGGCCAAUCCUUCAUCUCGCUCAGAUACUCGAGCAGUGGUUGACAGCCAGGUGAUCCAGUAUUUGAGCAAGAGAAGGAAGGAAGGUAAGGAGGAGAGAAUGCUUGGUGGCCUAGCUCCCCUGAUCCAAGGGU